GGGUUGUGAGGUUAAGCGACUAAGCGUACACGGUGGAUGCCCUGGCAGUCAGAGGCGAUGAAGGGCGUGCUAAUCUGCGAUAAGCGCCGGUAAGGUGAUAUGAACCGUUAUAACCGGCGAUACCCGAAUGGGGAAACCCAGUGUGAUUCGUCACACUAUCAUUAACUGAAUCCAUAGGUUAAUGAGGCGAACCGGGGGAACUGAAACAUCUAAGUACCCCGAGGAAAAGAAAUCAACCGAGAUUCCCCCAGUAGCGGCGAGCGAACGGGGAGGAGCCCAGAGCCUGAAUCAGCAUGUGUGUUAGUGGAAGCGUCUGGAAAGGCGCGCGAUACAGGGUGACAGCCCCGUACACAAAAGCGCAUGUGCUGUGAGCUCGAUGAGUAGGGCGGGACACGUGGUAUCCUGUCUGAAUAUGGGGGGACCAUCCUCCAAGGCUAAAUACUCCUGACUGACCGAUAGUGAACCAGUACCGUGAGGGAAAGGCGAAAAGAACCCCGGCGAGGGGAGUGAAAAAGAACCUGAAACCGUGUACGUACAAGCAGUGGGAGCACAGGUUUACCUGUGUGACUGCGUACCUUUUGUAUAAUGGGUCAGCGACUUAUAUUCUGUAGCAAGGUUAACCGAAUAGGGGAGCCGGAGGGAAACCGAGUCUUAAUUGGGCGUUAAGUUGCAGGGUAUAGACCCGAAACCCGGUGAUCUAGCCAUGGGCAGGUUGAAGGUUGGGUAACACUAACUGGAGGACCGAACCGACUAAUGUUGAAAAAUUAGCGGAUGACCUGUGGCU
rnacentral:rRNA from 1 species